UACGUAGGGACCAAGCGUUGUUCGGAUUUACUGGCGUAAAGGGCGCGUAGGCGGCGUGGUAAGUCACUUGUGAAAUCUCUGAGCUUAACUCAGAACGGCCAAGUGAUACUGCUGUGCUAGAGUGCAGAAGGGGCAAUCGGAAUUCUUGGUGUAGCGGUGAAAUGCGUAGAUAUCAAGAGGAACACCUGAGGUGAAGGCGCCACUCUGGGCCGAAACUGACGCUGGAGGAGCGAAAGCAUGGGUAGCAAACAGG
rnacentral:rRNA from 1 species